ensembl:miRNA
AAAAGUUCUUUCAGGUUUUUCUAUAAGAUAUUAUGGAGAAACCCAAAUGAACUUUUU